AAGGAAAUCAUGAAAAGAAUUUUGUAUUUGGGAAAUACAUUAAAUCAAGGAACUGCUAGAGGUUCUGCAGUUGGUUUCAAGUUGGACAGCCUAUUGAAACUCACUGAUACACGAGCUUCUAACAGCAAGAUGACUUUAAUGCAUUAUCUCUGCAAGGUUCUUGCCUCUAAGUCACCAGACCUUUUAGAUUUUCAUGUGGAUCUUGUUAGUCUUGAGUCUGCAACGAAGGUU